rnacentral:tRNA from 1 species
GGGGCUGUGGCUCACUGGUAGAACACUCCCCUAACAUGGGAGAGGCAUUGGGUUCAACCCUCAGCACCA